GGGUUAUAUUAUACAUAUUAUUAGUGGGCUAUCCACCUUUCUGGGAUGAAGAUCAGCACAGGUUAUAUGCACAGAUCAAGGCUGGGGCUUAUGAUUAUCCAUCUCCUGAAUGGGAUACGGUGACUCCUGAAGCUAAGAAUCUGAUAAACAGCAUGCUGACCGUCAACCCAGCAAAACGAAUAACUGCAACCGAAGCCCUUAAGCACCCUUGGAUUUGUCAAAGAGAGCGUGUUGCCUCUACACUUCAUCGCCAAGAAACUGUGGAAUGUUUGAAGAAGUUUAAUGCUAGACGAAAACUUAAAGGAGCUAUUUUGACUACAAUGUUAGCAACAAGGAAUUUUUCUAGUCGCAGCAUUAUGACAAAAAAAGGAGAAGGAUCACAGGUAAAAGAAUCUACUGACAGUAGCACAACACUUGAAGAUGAUGAGGUGAAAGAUGGCACUCAUUCUGGACCCGAACGGAGUAAAACUGUUAUACAAGUAGAUCAAGUAAAAUCCUCUAUCAGCGAUAAUAAAAUAAUCCAUAAAAGAUCAUCGGACAAUAUUCAACUAACAGCUAUAGCAGCAGCACUGAAGAAUAAUAAUGGUGGCAUCUUGGAUCCACGAAAACAAGAGAUAAUCAAAAUUACAGAACAAGUGAUAGAAGCCAUCAGUAAUGGCGAUUUUGAAAUGUACACGAAAUUUUGUGAUCCUCAGAUGACAGCAUUUGAACCUGAAGCCCUAGGUUUGAUUUUUGUCAAGGGCUGGAGAUUGAUGACUUCACUGACCUUUGACUUUCCACCAUUCCUAUCCUGCCUUCAUAAAUACAUGGAGCUUCUGAUGUUUUAGGGAAAAACAACAAGGCAUUAAAUACAACGAUCCUGAACCCAACUGUCCAUUUGUUAGGAGACGAUGCAGCGUGCAUUGCUUAUAUCCGUCUCACACAAUUCAUGGACAAAUCUGGUUUGGCACACACUCAAC
rnacentral:misc_RNA from 1 species